rnacentral:tRNA from 1 species
GGGUGUAGCUUCGUGGUAGAACAUUUGCCUAGUAUGGAAAAGGCCCUGGGUUCAAUCACCAGCACCAAACA